AGCGAACGCUGGCGGCAGGCUUAGCACAUGCAAGUCGAACGCCCCGCAAGGGGAGUGGCAGACGGGUGAGUAACACGUGGGAACGUACCCUUUGGUUCGGAAUAACUUGGGGAAACUCAAGCUAAUACCGGAUGAGCCCUUAUGGGGAAAGGUUUACUGCCGAAGGAUCGGCCCGCGUCUGAUUAGCUAGUUGGUGAGGUAAUGGCUCACCAAGGGGACGAUCAGUAGCUGGUCUGAGGGGAUGAUCAGCCACACUGGGACUGAGACACGGCCCAGACUCCUACGGGAGGCAGCAGUAGGGAAUUUUCCACAAUGGGGGCAACCUUGAUGGAGCAACACCGCGUGCAGGAUGAAGGUUUUCGGAUCGUAAACUGCUUUUAUUUGUGACGAUUAUGACAGUAGCAAAUGAAUAAGGGUCGGCUAACUACGUGCCAGCAGCCGCAGUAA
rnacentral:rRNA from 1 species